rnacentral:tRNA from 1 species
AUUUAUAUAGUUUAAUUAAAACAUUACAUUUUCAAUGUAAAAAUAGUAUAUAAUACUUAUAAA